UAACCCUCAAGCCCAGCUUGGUGUUGGGGCCUGCCGUCAGCGGCAGCCCCUAAAAUCAGUGGCGGUGCCAUCUGGCUCUAAGCGUAGUAAAUCUUCUCGCUAUAGGGUCCGGUGGACGCUGGCCAGCAACCCCAAUCUUUCUAU
rnacentral:misc_RNA from 2 species